AAGUGGCUGCAAGACGUUGUAUAGGGCAGUGUAUAAAGAAACUAGCUUAGCUGCCAGGCAGUGCAGAGGCUGGAGCAGCUGGCCACAAAUCUGUGAGCCUGCUCAUAGGGAGAUAGGCUGAUGAGAGGCUAAUGAGAAACCCCUGUGAUGGACUCUAAAAUACAGGGAUAAGGUAAACAGAAGGAGAAGGAAUUAGUAAAUAUAUUAGCUUGGCUCCAGGCCAGAGAGCUAGUCUGGUCCUGAUUGUUGUGGGGAGAACAGUUCUGGGGAGAUUUGGGUGAACUAAUGAUCCAUAGAGGGAUAUGGUACCCCAGACAACUGAUAAAAGCUGGCUGGUAGGGAUGGGAGCAGAUCUGCUCUGUGGUGAAGAUACCCCAACAGGUUGGAUUGAUGUAGACAAAUAACUUUCAAAGCAGACUUCAGAAAUUACUUCAGGAGUAACUUUUAAAGGAAACUGAUGAAGUGAGCCACACUUUUCCCAUCUGUGUGCAUGUUGAAUUCUCUGAACUACUGCAGGGAGUAGAAGAGAUUAUGACUCUGAUUCCUUCCCAUUCGUUCUUAGCCCUGGAUGGGGUGGACAGAGGGCUGCACCUGAGAGGAUGCACAGAGGAAGUAGUCUCCCCUGUGAGAAGGGACUGAGAUUUAAUCGAGUCAUGUGCAAGAAACACACAGAACAGGUGUCAGUGGGUGAAGAUCAGCUUGACUUCAGCUUGAGUGAAAGGAUUGGUGAAAACCAACUGCCUUAGUGAAAUGAAGCUGCUUUGGAAGGUGCUUACUAGAUUUCUGGAUUCUCUUGGGAGGUCUCUUCAUGCAGAAGAUACUUAUCAGAGUUGUUUGCUCUUACUGUAUUCCUUUUGAAGUUCAUACAUUUUACUACAUUCAAAGAUCAUGUGGGACAAUGUGAAAUCCAGAAUAAUGUGAAAUCCAGGAUGUUGCAAACCCCCCACCCCUGCAGGCUUCAGAGAGUCAAUGUACUGCUAAUGAUUCAUUGUUAACCCUGGUGAAGUAGCAAUUAGUGUGAAUGGUCAUUCUGCUAAUGAAGCUAACCUAUUUUAGGGCAAUUUUGCUGUCUGCUAAGGCCCCAGUGCCCAGGACACUCAUUUUAAUGCUGAUCAGCUGGUUUGGAUUGGCCUCCAAAAUGGACUCUCCCAGCCAAUCCUGGAGGUAUAAUCAUCCUGUGUAUAAUGCAGGAAAUUUGUGUUUUGUGAUGCUUUGCUGAAUUGAACCCUUUUUCUGGCUCAUGCCUCUCUUAAUAUUAGAUGACCCUUAAUAUAAGACGGCCCCCAAUAAUUAGAUUUGGUAGGUGGAAAAUUUAUACAUUUGUAAUAAUUUUCCAGGUAUAGAAUCUAAGUAUUUGGAGGGUUGUCCUGAAUCCCCUGCCCCACUGCUAGAGUGGAGAAAGCAGUGGCUGGGAGGUUCCAGUUGCCUCUGCACCUUGUGCCCCACCCACUUCCUUCCACUGCUGCCUUCCUGCCACCUGCACCCACCAC